rnacentral:lncRNA from 7 species
AAGAUUCUCAGGGCACAUUGGCUUGGAAAGCAAUAGUUAGCUAUGGCUCCCAUGAUUAUCCAGCAGCUGUUCAAUGACCAACUGGCUUUUGGGCACAUACAAAAGAAAAGAGAUGAAGAAAUAAGAGAAAUGUUCUCCAAGGUUGAAGAGAGGCACUAUUCAGUUUCCUGGUUAACAGAUAUGAAGAGGCUCAAACACAUGAAGAUUUGAUAGCAACAUAAACGUGAAAUCUGUUUUUCCCAAGGGGAUUUGUGGCCAGGGAAAUAAAACCAAAGGACUUCUACCCUCAAACAUCAGAAAAAAAAUCUCAGAAAAAGCAAAUACCAGCACCAGAGCCUGACCCUGCAGCCCAGGAGACCCCUUUGCCUCAUGGCUGCACACCAGCUCUAACACUGCUACGAUUGAUCAGGAAAGCAGCUCUAAAAACUCAGGCUAAGGCUUUUCUGAUUACCUUAAAAUAAUCAUUGAACUGCCUGAAACAAAUACAGCCGCAAAGCAGAGCUCCCAGCCUGCUCGCUGCACGCUGACAGACACAGCCUAAUGACCCUAGAGAGCAGCCAGCCCUUCUGAUGGAGCAUCAUCUGCUCCCCCAGACUAAAGUGACGUGUCCUCUGCUCUCCACGUGCUCCGCAGACCGGGAACGGAGCCGCAUCACUCCUGACACAAUCCUGAAAAUGACACCUGUUCAGCACAGAUGCCACACGGGGACUUGGGGAGCCGAUCCCUCACAGCUAUGCAAUCACAGAUCAGUUUCCAAUGAAAUAUUACUUACUUGAAUCAGUGUUGUCUUGGUUCCUCAUGAAGGGUGCAGCAGGCAUAAAAUGUGGUAUUGAUUUCUGAGAUGUAGCUCAGUCCUCUCGUCAGGGCCGUUUCAAAAAAUGCAAAGUAUUUCUUUUCUUUCACACCUGAAAUCGCAUCACCUUUACAGAGUGGAGGUCGAGGCUCU